UGAGGAAUAUUGGUCAAUGGACGCAAGUCUGAACCAGCCAUGCCGCGUGAAGGAUGAAGGCCUUCUGGGUUGUAAACUUCUUUUAUGUGGGAAGAAACCUCUGAUUUCUAUUAGAGUUGACGGUACCAUAGGAAUAAGCACCGGCUAACUCCGUGCCAGCAGCCGCGGUAAUACGGAGGGUGCAAGCGUUAUCCGGAUUUACUGGGUUUAAAGGGUGUGUAGGCGGAUCUUUAAGUCAGUGGUGAAAUCU
rnacentral:rRNA from 1 species